rnacentral:rRNA from 1 species
CUACGGGUCGCUCCAGUGAGGAAUAUUGCACAAUGGAGGAAACUCUGAUGCAGCAACGCCGCGUGGAGGAUGACGCAUUUCGGUGUGUAAACUCCUUUUAUGAGUCAAGAAAAUGACGGUAGCUCAUGAAUAAGCACCGGCUAACUCCGUGCCAGCAGCCGCGGUAAUACGGAGGGUGCAAGCGUUACUCGGAAUCACUGGGCGUAAAGGACGCGUAGGCGGGAUAUCAAGUCAGGUGUGAAAUCCUACAGCUUAACUGUAGAACUGCACUUGGAACUGGUAACCUAGAGUAUGGGAGGGGGAGAUGGAAUUAGUGGUGUAGGGGUAAAAUCCGUAGAUAUCACUAGGAAUACCUAAAGCGAAGGCGAUCUCCUGGAACAUAACUGACGCUAAGGCGUGAAAGCGUGGGGAGCAAACAGGAUUAGAUACCCCGGUAGUC